GUGCAAGUGGUGGACUUCAAAACCGAGGUUGGGUUCG
rnacentral:tRNA from 1 species